UGUUCCCUCACGGAGGAAGAGAGGAAAGAGGAGGAAGGAGGGGAUAUCUCUCUCAUAUUGGACUCUUUGUUCCACUGUCCCCACUAGCAACUCCAACCAGUGGGGCAUUUGUCUUCUGCAGUGACAUCAGGUAGGUGGGUGGAGACAUCCUCUGUCAUUGCUUUUGGUCUCCUAUUUCACAAAUGAAGGAACCGGGGCUCAUAGAAAUGAAAGGCUUUAUGCAAAAGCCUCAAAGCUAAAGAUGAGAUAAGAGUCCAGGAUUUAGAUCUCAAAUCUAGUGCUCUUUGCUCAAUACAAAGUCCUUCCUCCUCCCACUUAAUGCUGACAUUGCUCAUAGACCUGCUCUUAUUCUUAGCUCUGAAAUAAAUGUACUGGAGAACCUGGAGCAACACUUGCUGCUAUGGGCUAAAAAGAAGACAGAAUUUUGUGAUUGGAGUGACUCAGGUUCAAAUUCCAGCUCUCUUUAACUCCCACUUGCAACCUCAGAGAAGUUUUACUUCCCUAAAACCUGAGAUUUUCCUUCUGGAAAACUGACAUCUCUGUAUUGUGA
rnacentral:lncRNA from 1 species